GUGGGCUUCCAAAGUGAAAGGAGAGGCGAGAGCUGGCUGACUGCCAAAAUACAAUGCUCCCAUUAAAUUUAUCGAUAAGAACAAUAACAAACAUCACUAUCAUAUCGAUAAAAAGGUGAAUCGAGGUUAAUUCUUAACCGUGUCGCAGGUUUAUCCUUGAACAAAUAUUAUAAACGCAAAACGUUUGGUAUACAGAUGUACAUACGUCGUGUGUAUUGAAGCGUUUGACACAGCAGUAUCGAAUGUGUGUUUAUCCUUACAAGGUUGCGUGCGAGUCUACUUCGAAGAGUAUUGUUACAUUCGGACUUGGAUUAAAGAAAUUGAGACUUCAAGCACAUGUCUCCUGCCAAGAAUAAGUGAAUCCACAUUUGUUCACAUUAACUGAAAUGUAGAGUGAUAGAACAAGCAUUGGCUGCCGAUCUAGACUGCCACAAUCUGGACCAACAAAUACAAAUACCGAAGGGGUCUACCCAGUCCUGGAGCGUGUGGACAGAACGAGGAAGAGCAUACGGAGAACUUUGCGUGUUUCAAACUAUAAAAGAAAAAACAACCUUCGAAAAGCCCUUAUGAAAUUAUGAUGACUUGGUAUGGUAGUACAUCAGGGAAAGUGUCUCUCGUAGUACGGACGAAGCACGACAGGUGGCGCACGAGUAGUUUGAAGAAAUCGUUAUUUUUCAUAGAACUAGCGAGCGUGACCGGGAUUCAGUGGUAUUUUAUAACUUCCUUUUCUCUAAUUUAAUGAUUCCUUCAAAUCAAAGGUCAUAUAUAAAACAGUGGCUUUAUACAGGGUGUCCCACAAGGGUAUAUCAAGCCGGAAACUGUAGGUAGAGGUCUAGUAGAAUAAUAAAUUCGACGAAAAAGGUCGUUCCCAAGUAAAUGGUUAAGUACAUAAGUACUUAACGACGAGUGAACACAACUAACCAACUGUUCUUCUGCCAGACCUUGAAAUAUGUUUUACGUAAGGUACAGUGCAUGAUUCGUAAUAAAAAUAAGGCUUGCCACAUAUAAAAAGAUGAGAUUUUUUUUAUUUCUUAGAUGGGGGACGAAGUCAUGGCCCACCUAGUGAUAAAUAGCAAACGGAGCUCAUAGACAUGUAAAAUGUAAAUGCCACCUCCCACCUUGAGACAUUGGGUUCUGAGUCUCAGUUCUACAGUAGGUACAACCUCUGCUCCAUCCUUCAAAGCGAAACGCAUUACUGCUUCUCCGUAGAAAUAGAUAGAGCGAUGGUACCUACCCGUGCGGGCUCACACCAGGAAGUAAUCGUAUUAAUAUUGAUCGUACGAAUUGAGUACGCACACUGCAUACAUUUUUCUCCGCCAAAUAGGCACUGUCACUAUGAUAUCGCUUUCAUAAAGCCCUCUUUGGCACAUGAUCAAUAAUCUGUAUAUUCUAGGUCGAGGUUACAUAAGUGAUAACUUGAAUCACUUUUGUCUCAAAGAGAUUUAUGUUCGUAAAUCAAGUUUGACACAAAAAGUGUAAAAAUAAUUGUAAAAAUGAA